UGAUCUAACGAUCUGCACGGUAAGGCCAGGUCUCUCGCUAACUACUGAUCCUGAUGAGGUGCUAACGGAGACGAAGACCGUCUACCACCGCCGGCCACCUCCAGGGCAGUGCCGGCGGCACCCUGCACGUCCAUCUCCCUGCUGCUGCUUCUUCCCCAAUAAGCUCCACACUGCAGGAGGCUCACGGGGGAGCCCCCUCAGUGCUGGCGGCGCUGCUGCUCAUCACGUAAUCCUGGUGCUGUCCUUCCCCGGCCAUGGAGGACCCAAGGUGCAGCCAUGGACUACUGGUAGUUUUACAAUGAUUCUGGUUUUGUCAAAUAGAUGAAGUUAACAUAAGGUAUGUUGCCUCAAGAAAUUCAAUUAUGAAAUAAGGCGAGCGUUGGGACAAGGGGGAGUAAGUUCACUAAAUGUGAAGAUGGAAUAUUUUUUGGCGAGCCAAGAAUUUGUAUCUUCCAUUGACAUAAAGGAUCUUGGUGAUGCCUUAUACUUUAUUUGUAUCGAGGUUCAUCAAGAUAUAGGUCCAAAAGGAGUAUAAGUUCUCUUAUGACGACAUACGUCAAUAGAGUACGAAAGAAAAUAUUAUGUGGCAGUACUCUAUCUCACCUGCUACUCAAGUUAAGGGCAAUAAAAGUGGACAUCUCAGUGUCCAAGGAACAUUUAUGAACUGAUCAGAUAAUGUUAGUUCCUUAUGCUUCGGUUGUCAGAAGCAAUAUAUGUAUUCAAGUAUGAAGGCGCGCCCUCUUAUUUAUGAUCGGGUAACUUGGCAAAUUGUGUUUAAUCUAGAAUUGGACCGCUGGAAAUUUGUUAUCAAGCUUUGCAGUAUAUACAAGGCGAUGACUAUUACAUGCUCA